GACGAACGCUGGCGGCGUGCUUAACACAUGCAAGUCGAACGGAAAGGCCCCUUUGGGGGUACUCGAGUGGCGAACGGGGGAGUAACACGUGAGUAACCUGCCCUUGACUUCGGGAUAACUUCAGGAAACUGGGGCUAAUACCGGAUAGGAAUCCUUGCUGCAUGGUGGGGGUUGGAAAGUUUCGGCGGUUUUGGAUGGACUCGCGGCUUAUCAGCUUGUUGGUGGGGUAGUGGCUUACCAAGGCUUCGACGGGUAGCCGGCCUGAGAGGGCGACCGGCCACAUUGGGACUGAGAUAAGGCCCAGACUCCGACGGGAGGCAGCAGUGGGGAAGAUUGCACAAUGGGCGGAGGCCUGAUGCAGCAACGCCGCGUGCGGGAUGACGGCCUUCGGGUUGUAAACCGCUUUCGGCAGGGGCGAAGCUUGUGGUGACGGUACCUGCAGAAGAAGCACCGGCUAACUACGUG
rnacentral:rRNA from 1 species